rnacentral:siRNA from 1 species
UGGGUUUUGCUGGCUACUACAGGC